AUGCACGCUGGCGGCGUGCCUCAUCCCUGCAAGUCGAGCGAACAGACGAGGAGCUUGCUCCUCUGACGUUAGCGGCGGACGGGUGAGUAACACGUGGAUAACCUACCUAUAAGACUGGGAUAACUUCGGGAAACCGGAGCUAAUACCGGAUAAUAUAUUGAACCGCAUGGUUCAAUAGUGAAAGACGGUUUUGCUGUCACUUAUAGAUGGAUCCGCGCCGCAUUAGCUAGUUGGUAAGGUAACGGCUUACCAAGGCAACGAUGCGUAGCCGACCUGAGAGGGUGAUCGGCCACACUGGAACUGAGACACGGUCCAGACUCCUACGGGAGGCAGCAGUAGGGAAUCUUCCGCAAUGGGCGAAAGCCUGACGGAGCAACGCCGCGUGAGUGAUGAAGGUCUUCGGAUCGUAAAACUCUGUUAUUAGGGAAGAACAAAUGUGUAAGUAACUAUGCACGUCUUGACGGUACCUAAUCAGAAAGCCACGGCUAACUACGUG
rnacentral:rRNA from 1 species